GGUCGAUGAUGAUUGGUAAAAGGUCUGAUUGCACUUCAUGUCACAGUCCCUUCCUUGCCCUCAACUCCCAGCAGCCCAUUUUUUUUCUCCUGUCACACUGAAGUCAUGUGUCUGGGAUAAUGGAGCAGCUGACAGUUGGGGAUUCUGUCAGCAUGUGUUUCUGAGAGAGAAUGGGUCACAGCUGACAAGUAUCCAACAGAACCAGUUCUGCAGGAGAUUGAUGAGCGGCAGCCCUGGGUGUGACGGUGCAUGAUCUCAAGUUUUCAAUCUGAGACC
ensembl:scaRNA